rnacentral:rRNA from 1 species
CCUUGCCAGCCCGCUCAAGAAACGUUAAGAAUUGACGGGGGCCCGGCACAAGCGGUGGAGCAUGUGGUUUAAUUCGAUGAUACGCGAGGAACCUACCUUGGGCUCAAAUGUAUGUUGACGUAGUUCUGAAAGGGAUACUUCUUCGGACAAUAUACAAGGUGCUGCAUGGUUGUCGUCAGCUCGUGCCGUGAGGUGUCGGGUUAAGUCCCAUAACGAGCGCAACCCCUAUCAUUAGUUGCCAUCAGGUCAAGCUGGGGACUCUAAUGAAACUGCCUACGCAAGUAGUGAGGAAGGUGGGGAUGACGUCAAAUCAGCACGGCCCUUACGUCCAGGGCUACACACGUGCUACAAUGGCCGGUACAAAGGGCAGCUACCUGGUGACAGGAUGCUAAUCUCCAAAGUCGGUCUCAGUUCGGAUCGGAGUCUGCAACCCGACUCCGUGAAGUUGGAUUCACUAGUAAUCGCGCAUCAGCCAUGGCGCGGUGAAUACGUUCCCGGGCCUU